rnacentral:rRNA from 1 species
UACGUAGGGGGCAAGCGUUGUCCGGAUUUAUUGGGCGUAAAGAGCGUGUAGGCGGCCAUGUAGGUCCGUUGUGAAAACUCGAGGCUCAACUACGAGUCGGCCAUGGAUACUCCUUGACUUGAGCACUGUAGAGGCAGAUGGAAUUCCGGGUGUAGCGGUGGAAUGCGUAGAGAUCCGGAAGAACACCGGUGGCGAAGGCGGUCUGCUGGGCAGUAGCUGACGCUGAGGCGCGACAGCGUGGGGAGCAAACAGG